rnacentral:rRNA from 1 species
CCCUUAGAUGUUCUGGGCUGCACGCGCGCUACACUGAAGCUAUCAACACGUUUUCCCUCCCUGAGAAGGGCGGGUAACCUUUUGAAUCAGCUUCGUGGUAGGGAUCGGGGCUUGCAAUUGUUCCCCGUGAACCAGGAAUUCCUAGUAGACGCGAGUCAUAUGCUCGCAUCGAUUAAGUCCCUGCCCUUUGUACACACCGCCCGUCGCUACUACCGAUUGAACGUUUUAGUGAGGCAUUUGGACCGACGCAUCUCAGUUUAACCGCUGGUUUGUGUUGGAAAGACUUCCAAACUUGAGCGUUUAGAGGAAGUAAAAGUCGUAACA